AAAAGGGUUGGAAGAAAAUCUAAAAUCUAAAAUUCCUCUCCAACAGAGAAGAAAACCUAAUCGCUGUGAAGAAAACACCAAAUCGCUCUUGUUCCUCGUCUCAACGCCACCACUCUCUCCUCCUCUCAACUUAAUCGCUCUCUUCUUGGAACUCGUUCUUCCUUUUCGAGAUAUCGUUCAUCUGUGCUUGUCUUCAAUCAAGGUAUGCGAUUAUAUUUUUUCUUCACCCUAAUCCUCUUAUCCCUAAUUCUCCCUUUGGUGUUUUCCCCUUCAAUUUGGUGUUUUUCCAUUCUAUUUCGCGCUCAUUCUGUCAUUCUCUCUGUUCAGUUCCACCAAAAUCCUAAUUCCAGAUCCAUUACCACACUGAAAGUAAGACCAUCUGUUAUUUAUAUUUUUGCAUUUUCGAAAACGAAAGUGAAAAUUUUAAUAACAUCAUUAAACAGGUUGCUGUUGGGAAUGGGCAGUGGCGGCGAGGAGGAAUUGGCGGCGCAGGGUUUGUAUGACUGUAAGAUUAGGGUUUGUAUUUCUAACUUAUUACUAUUUUAUUUGCUUAUUUAUUUACUUUUUUUACUUGAUAGUUCUAACAUAAUUUUAUUUGCUUAUUUAUUUACUUGUUGUGUCUCAUAAGGGCCCGUUUGGUGCACAGGAUAAGAGACAUGAUAUGAUAACUGUAUCAUAUCCUGUUUCAGUCCAGUGUUUGGUGACACAACAUGAUAUGAUAAGUUAAUCCUGUAGCUUAUCCUAUCCAGUCUCUCUAGUUAAAAUUCUUACCCUGAAUUUGAGCUGGGUUACCAGUAGGAUAGGAUAAAAAAAAAUUUACUGAUUUUUUCUAUAAAAUAUAUUUUAAAAUAAAAAAAUGAAAAUUAAUAAAAUAUAAAUAAUAAAAUAAUUUGAUAGUAAAUUAAUAAUAAAAUAAUUAAAUAUAAUUAUUUUGCAAUGGUAUUUUUAUUAUUUUCGUAUGAGAUAUAUCAUAUAUUUAUUUAGCUUAUCUAACAUGUAUAUACCAUUGAGUUAUUUAUUUGAUCAUGAUUCAUAUAAAAAAUUAAAGUUUAUUAUUUUCUCAUGUUUUUUAUUUAAAACUAUAUAAAGUUAUUUGAUUACUUAUUUAUAUUUUUUAUUUAAAAAAUUCAAAGUAUUACAAAAUAUUUUUUAAAAAAUAACAAUUGAUUUACAAGGGCAAUUUUUUCAUUUAAAUAUUUUAUAUAUCUUAUCAUAUUAUUAUGAGCAAGUAUGUAUUAAAAACAUGAUAUAAUAGUUAUCAUGUUUGUUAUCCUGUGUGUACCAAACACAAGAUAGGAUAACUAAGGAUAACUGUUAUCCUGUUGAUAUCAUAUCAUAUCCUUAUUCUGUUUUAUAUCAUAUCCUAUCACUAUCCUAUCAUACGCACCAAACGGGCCCUAAUAGUAUAGUAUUCUUAAUUGCUCAUUAGUUUUAUGUUCUGAUUUUGGUUGUCUUUCUUGAUUAUGUUGUUUUAUAUAUAUUUAGCAAAUCUCAUGUCCUAGUCUAUGGAAUGAAAGGAACAAUAGCUGAAAUAAAGUUAUACCUUGUCUAUAUGGUACAUCAAUUCUUUUACUUACCUUGUACCCUUAUUACUUUGUUUUCUGCUUAUGCAAUAUCAAUCCCUUUACUCAUUUGCUCCCUCUAUUAUCCAUUUUAUGACAUUUUUGCCUAUUUCCUUUGUUUAGAGUUGAAAGAAAAACUGUACAAAUCUAAUCGGAAUGAGAAAGUUUUUAAGUUCUUAUUCUUGCUAAACAGUUGAUGUAAGUUCUCAAACCCAACCCUUCAAUUUUUUUAUUCUUUAAUUUCNNNNNNNNNNNNAAUGUGAUUGAAUGACUUGACAAAAUUGUUUUUAUUUUCUUUUAAAGUUUGUGUGCUGCAAUGAUUUUAUUUUUUAGGAUUGACAUAAUGGUGUGGGCAAAGUAAUUUACAUGAUAUAUAUUUGAUAUUUUUUUGUAUUCUAUGAAUGACAUAAUUGUGAGGGUCUAGUGUGGAGUUGAAUGACAUACUCAAGUGGAUUGUUUUAUGCUUCUCAUAUUGUAUGUGGACUAUAUCUAUGGGAGUUUGGUGUGGAGUAUAUAUUGGUUAUGGUACAGGGCUGGUAUGUGGCUUAAAGGUUAGGCUACAUGAAUCAAAGGUGUUGAUGAUGGAUGUCUUAUUUGCUUGGUUUUUCCUGCUAGUAGUUUGGUCGUGUUUUGUUUGUUUCUAGGUGUGCUUCUUUUUUAGUAGAUCAAGGGUCUGGUGUGUCAUGAUUAGAAUUGGAGUAUUGGUAGUAAUAUGUUGGAUACAAUAAGCUAAUUUANNNNNNNNNNNNNNNNNNNNNNNNNNNNNNNNNNNNNNNCCUUUAGUUUUAACUUGGUUUGUGCAAGUAGAAAAAAGUCUAGACUUGUAGAUAUCUAACAAUCCAAUGUUCAAGUAAUUUAAGGCUUAGUUGGAUGUGAUAUUAAUGUGUUUUUAUGCUUUUUAUCCUAUUACUAUAAUUUGAGGUUGAUGUAUGUUUAAUAUUAGGCUUGUUUUCCUAUUAUUACUCAUAUUUGCUACUCUCUUUUUUUCAACUAGUUAAUUCUGAAUCUAUAAGAAAAAUGUGUUUUGUUUUUAAGAUUCUGAGUUGUCUAGCUAGAUGACUAGUGUAUCUUUCGGGUUUGUUUUGUUUAGCCUGACCUUGGUUUUGGAUUUCUGAGAUUUAAUGUUGCCUAUCUUUUUCUCUCUGCAGCUGGGAUUCUGUUUUGAGCAUCUGUUUUGUGCUGGUGGUUUUUGGGCUUGUUUGGUUGAUCUGUUGUUAUGCUUGAGGCAUUUCAUAUUUUUUGGCCUACAUUUAUAUGUGACUAAGGCAACUGAUUAUAAAAGGAUUGCUGUAAGCUAAACAUGCAAAUAUAGAUACGGAUUUAAUGGAUUUAGAUGAAGUAAUAUUUGAUGAUUUUGGAAUGUAGAAAAUUAUUUAAAGUAUGAAAUUUUGUAGGCACCUUCAAGUUAUUAGAACUUCAACCUUUUGGAUGUAUUGAUAAAACUUUGAUAUUUUGUUAUUGAGAUACGUAUAUUUAUGAUGGAAUGAUUGAUGUUUGCAAACAAUUUGUA
rnacentral:lncRNA from 1 species